rnacentral:lncRNA from 10 species
ACAGAAGAAAUGUAGUUGAAGCCCGUGUGUACUCCGCCAUGAUCACAUUGAUCUCCUUUCCCCCUACACCACAGAGGCAUGGCAUGAGAUUAAAGAUAGAUACCCAUCCCACAUGCUGCAAUCUUGGAGAAAAGCAAUCCUGAAUAAUAAAUACAGAGAAGCUAUCUCAGGCACUGGCUGUCAUGGACACUUGGGCAGUCUCAAAAGGCAACCCAGGAAAAUCAGAGUGGAGGACAAGCUGAAGGGCACACUCCACCUAAGGACACAAGAAGAUCAUGUUUCCUGAAGUCUGCUUUGCCAGUUACCCAGUUCUGCCAGGAGACGAUACUUGGGACCCAAGCAAACCAAGCCUCAGGAGCCACUUCAUGGGAAACUGCAAAAGCCUCUGCAAAGAUGACAGGCAUUCUGCCCAGAGGUCUACAUCACAGUUGGUUCUUGAAACUUCCUUUUAUAUUUUCCUUAGCUCUUUCAAUGGAGCUGGGUUUCCCACACGGGGAGUAUCCUGUGGUGGCUAAAUGUAGGGAUCCAACGUGAAGGAACAGCUCCUCUCACGAACACUGUUGGUCUCCUGGAUGGAGAAGGAAUGUGGUGAACCCUGAGCUGACUCUCAGGGCCUUUGUUCAGAACAUUUUACUUCUGCUCAUAUGUCAUAGGACAAAGCAAAUUACAUGGCUGAGCUGGAUGCAAAUGGGGAGGGGAAGAGGACUCUUCCCACAGGGAGGGGCAUAAGUCACACAGCCAAGGCUGAUGUCAACAGGGCAGGGAUGUAUAAUCCUCCCACAGGGAGGAGUAGCUAAUAUUUUUAACAAUAUUAUAAUCCACCACAGUGACCUCGAGCAUGUCACUUGACCUCUUUGUGCCUUGGUUUUCUCAUUGUUAAAAUGGAAAUAAUAAUAGAACUUACCUCAUAGGGUUGAUAUGAGGAUUCAAACGACUUAAUUCUAGUAGAGCAUUUAAAAUCCUGCCUAGUACAUAAUAAAUGCUAGAUAAGUGGUUGUUAAAUAAAAAUAAAUAAAAUGUUUGUCCAUACAAUUGUUUCCUCUUGCUAUGGUGAAAAUCGUGUAUCCCAUGCUUUAUUAUUACAUGCCUAGAAAUGAAGAUACUUUGCCUACAGGCAUUUAAAAACAAGACAUUUCUAUUUUUAAAAGCCUGUGGCUUUAAAAUUAAGGUUUCCAAAGUUGUGUCAUUGCUUAAACUUCUUGAAAGAUGUCCCUAUCAUGGCUUGCAGUCUGAUUAGUUCUUUCUGGAAAAGAGAAGAGAUUCUGUUUGGUAGGAAUAGG